rnacentral:ncRNA from 1 species
UAUUACUUAGACGGGUGCUUUUUUCUGACAACCUUUUAUUCUUUUGAACAAGAGCAUGAAAAAGCUGAGAUUACACCGUUGGACUCGAACAAGUUAGUACUUGCGUGAGGAUUACUUAAUAUUGUUGA